rnacentral:rRNA from 1 species
UACGUAGGGGGCAAGCGUUGUCCGGAAUCAUUGGGCGUAAAGAGCGUGUAGGCGGCCAGAUAAGUCCGCUGUGAAAACUCGAGGCUCAACUUCGAGCUGUCGGCGGAAACUAUCUGGCUAGAGUCCGGAAGAGGAGAGUGGAAUUCCUGGUGUAGCGGUGAAAUGCGCAGAUAUCAGGAGGAACACUCGUGGCGAAGGCGGCCAGCUAGACCAGUUCUGACACUGAGGCGCGACAGCGUGGGGAGCAAACAGG